rnacentral:rRNA from 1 species
GUGUCAGCCGCCGCGGUAAUACGUAGGGGGCAAGCGUUGUCCGGAAUCAUUGGGCGUAAAGAGCGUGUAGGCGGCCCGAUAAGUCCGCUGUGAAAGUCCAGGGCUCAACCCUGGAAUGCCGGUGGAUACUGUCGGGCUCGAAUCCGGAAGAGGUGAGUGGAAUUCCUGGUGUAGCGGUGAAAUGCGCAGAUAUCAGGAGGAACACCAAUGGCGAAGGCAGCUCACUGGGACGGUAUUGACGCUGAGACGCGAAAGCGUGGGGAGCAAACAGGAUUAGAUACCCCUGUAGUCC